CAAGCAAAAGUGAUGGGGAAUUUUAACUUUUAUAAUUUUAUAAUAUAAAUAUAAAUAUUUAAGCAAGUUGACUCUACUGUCUUGUAGUCA